rnacentral:rRNA from 1 species
AAAAUCCGCUGUAAUAAUUCUAAGGCGUGAUGGGGAAGGUCAUUAAGACCGAAGUACAUGAUUCCAUGCUUCCAAGAAAAGCAUCUAGAGAGAGAAGUAGUGCCCGUACCGCAAACCGACACAGGUAGAUGAGGAGAGAAUCCUAAGGCCGGCGGAAGAAUUGCAGUUAAGGAACUAGGCAAAUUGACCCCGUAAGUUCGCGAGAAGGGGUGCCUGCGAGAGCAGGCCGCAGAGAAUAGGCCCAAGCAACUGUUUAGCAAAAACACAGGUCUCUGCUAAAGCGUAAGCUGAUGUAUAGGGGCUGACGCCUGCCCGGUGCUGGAAGGUUAAGGGGAACACUUAGCGCAAGCGAAGGUGUGAACUUAAGCCCCAGUAAACGGCGGCCGUAACUAUAACGGUCCUAAGGUAGCGAAAUUCCUCGUCAGGUAAGUUCUGACCCGCACGAAUGGCGUAAUGACUUGGGCACUGUCUCAACUGCAAAUCCAGCGAAGUUGUAGUGCGAGUGAAGAUGCUCGCUACCCGCGAUUGGACGGAAAGACCCCGUAGAGCUUUACUGUAGCUUAGCAUUGAAUUCCGGUAUUGUCUGUACAGGAUAGGUGGGAGACUAGGAAACUAGGGCGUCAGCCUUAGUGGAGUCAACCUUGGGAUACCACCCUGACAGUACUGGGGUUCUAACAGGACGCCAUGAAGCUGGUGACUGGACAUUGUUAGGUGGGCAGUUUGACUGGGGGCGGUCGCCUCCUAAAAAGUAACGGAGGCGCCCAAAGGUUCCCUCAGAACGGUCGGAAAUCGUUCGUAGAGUGCAAAGGCAGAAGGGAGCCUGACUGCGAGACCUACAAGUCGAGCAGGGACGAAAGUCGGGCUUAGUGAUCCGGUGGUACCUCGUGGGAGGGCCAUCGCUCAACGGAUAAAAGCUACCUCGGGGAUAGCAGGCUGAUCUCCCCCAAGAGUCCACAUCGACGGGGAGGUUUGGCACCUCGAUGUCGGCUCGUCGCAUCCUGGGGCUGUAGUAGGUCCCAAGGGUUGGGCUGUUCGCCCAUUAAAGCGGCACGCGAGCUGGGUUCAGAACGUCGUGAGACAGUUCGGUCCCUAUCCGUCGCUGGCGUAGGAAAUUUGAGAGGAGCUGUCCUUAGUACGAGAGGACCGGGAUGGACUGACCUCUGGUGCACCAGUUGUUCUGCCAAGAGCAUGGCUGGGUAGCUAAGUCGGGAAGGGAUAAACGCUGAAGGCAUCUAAGCGUGAAGCCCCCCUCAAGAUGAGAUUUCCCAUAGCAUAAGCUAGUAAGACCCCUUGAAGAACACAAGGUUGAUAGGUCAGAGGUGGAAGUGCGGUAACGUAUGUAGCUGACUGAUACUAAUAGGUCGAGGGCUUGACCG